AACGAACGCUGGCGGCAUGCCUAACACAUGCCAGUCGAACGAGACCUUCGGGUCUAGUGGCGCACGGGUGCGUAACGCGUGGGAACCUGCCCUUAGGUUCGGAAUAACUCCCCGAAAGGGGUGCUAAUACCGGAUAAUGUCUUCGGACCAAAGAUUUAUCGCCUUUGGAUGGGCCCGCGUUGGAUUAGCUAGUUGGUAGGGUAAAAGCCUACUAAGGCGACGAUUCAUAGCUGGUCUGAGAGGAUGAUCAGCCACACUGGGACUGAGACACGGCCUAGACUCCUACGGGAGGCAGCAGUGGGGAAUAUUGGACAGUGGGCGAAAGCCUGAUCCAGCAAUGCCGCGUGAGUGAUGAAGGCCUUAGGGUUGUAAAGCUCUUUUACCCGGGAUGAUAAUGACAGUACCGAGAGAAUAAGCUCCGGCUAACUCCGUG
rnacentral:rRNA from 1 species